GACAAUGGCUGAAUAAACCUUUUGAAACUACAUCUCUCUGUCUACUCCACUCCUUCGUUAUCCGGGGACCCGGAAGACUGCAGGAAUGUUACCUACCUGGCUAUUCCUGAGUCUGGCUAUGAAGUGGAUUUGAUGGAAAACUAGAAAUGGGAAAAAUGGAAAAUAUGAUUGGAAAACUGAGUUACCUGAAUCCAAACAAAGAUUGGACAUUUUGAGGCCCAUAAUUAUGCAGGCCCUUGAACUGAAUGUUGAAGGGGAAUAGAGAUGUCAAGAUUCCAAGAGACAAUAAUGAGGGCCUCCCUAUCCCUGAGACACAACAGUUUUGAAAUUUGGCCAAUUAAUAACCCUACCAUGGUGUCUAAGUCUUCAAGUGAAAGGAAGAGUCAAUCAGUGGGACAACCUUCAUUGUUGUCUCAUUUUAAGACAUUGCCAUAGCCACCCCAAUGUUCAGCAACCACUGACCUUAUCAA